rnacentral:lncRNA from 1 species
UUUCGCUCGAGGAAUGUUGCCCUGGGUAUACACAAUGGGAGGCCCAUCACGCACACCUACUCCCCCUGUGGGGGGGGGAGAGGGGGUGUCGGACCACCACCCCCUAAAGAGCAUUAGAGAUUUUAUAGAUAUGCUACCAGUAGACGUUAAAGUGUCUGAAAUAGGGACGCUUUUUCCAAACAGGCAUAUCUCGCACCAAGGGCCAGCGCGUGCCAAUGGUGGUCGAUGCGAUUGCCCACACCAAGGGCCAGUGUGUGCCGAUGAUGGUCAAGGAAACCGCUCACACCAGAUCGAGGCAUGUGCCCACACCAAGGCCCGACAUGUGCCGAUAGUGUUCGAGGUAACUGCCCACACCAGACGCCAUCUUCUACCGAUGGUGGUCGAGGUAAGAGCCCGUACCAAGGGCCAGCUUGUACCGAUGGUGCUCGAGGCAACCACCCGUACCAAGGGCCAUCUUCUGCCGAUGGUGGUCGAGGCAACCGCCGGCACAAAAGCCCAACAUGUGUCGAUGGUGUUCGAGGAAACUGCUCGCACCAAGGGCCAGCAUGUGCCAACGGUGUUCGAGGCAACCCCCCACACCAGGGGCCAUCUUCUACCGAUGGUGGUCAAGGCAAAAGCCCACACCAAGGGUCGACUUGUGUCGAUGGUGCUCGAGGCAACCGUCUGCACGAAGGCCUAGCACGUGUCGAUGGUGUUCGAGGCUACCGCACACACCGAGGCCGAGCAUGUGUCGAUGGUGGUCGAGGCAAUCGCCCGGACCAAGGUUCGGCUUGUGCCGAUGGUGGUGGAGGCAACCAUCCGCACCAGGGGCCAUUUUCUACCGAUGGUGGUCGAGGCAAGAGCCCACACCAAAGGUUGGCUUGUGUCGAUGCUGCUCGAGGUAAUCGCCCGCACCAAGGCCCGGCACGUGUCGAUGGUGUUCGAGGCAACUGCCCGCAUCAAGGCCCAGCAUGUACCAAUGGUGUUCAAUGCAACCGCCUGCACCAGGGGCCAUCUUGUGCCGAUGGUGGUCGAGGCAACCAUCUGCACUAAGGGUUGGCUUGUACAGAUGGUGGUCGAGGUAACCUCCCGUACCAGGGGCCAUUUUCUAUCGAUGGUAGUCGAGGUAAGAGCCCGCACCAAGGGCCAGCUUGUGCCAAUGGUGCUCGAGGCAACCGCCCGCACCCGGGGCCAUCUUCUGCCAAUGGUGGUCAAGGCAACCGCCCCUACCAAGGCCCAGCAUAUGCCGAUGGUGUUCGAGGCAACCGCCCGCACCAAGGCCCAGCAUGUGCCGAUGGUGGUCGAGGCAACUGCCCACACCAAGGCCCAGCAUGUACCGAUGGUGUUCGAUGCAACCGUCCACACCAGGUGCCAUCUUGUGUCGAAGGUGGUCGAGGCAACUGACCACACCAAGGGCCGACUAGUGCCGAUGGUGCUCGAGGCAAUCGCCCACACCAAGGCUUGACACGUGUCGAUGGUGUUCGAGGCAACCGCCUACACCAGGGGCCAUCUUCUGUCAAUGGUGGUCGAGGCAACCGCAUGAGCCAAUGGUGUUCGAUGCAACCACCCGCACCAGGGGCCAUCUUGUGUCGAUGGUGGUCGAGGCAACCACCCGCACCAAGGGCCUACUAGUGCGGAUGGUGUUCGUGGCAAUCACCCGUACCAAGGCUCAGCAUGUGCCGAUGGUGGUCGAGGCAACUGUUCGCACCAUGGCCCAGCAUGUGCCAAUGGUGUUCGAUGCAAUCGCUCGCACCAGGGGCAAUCUUGUGCCAAUGGUGGUCGAGGCAAUUGCCUGCACCAAUGGCCGGAUUGUGUCGAUGGUGGUCGAGGCAACCGUCCACACCAAGGGCCGACAUAUGCCGAUGGUGAUUGAGGCAACCGUCGGUACCAGGGCCUAGCAUGUGUCGAUGGUGAUCGAGGCAAGUGCCCGUACCAAAGGGCAGCCUGUGCCGAUGAUGGUCGAUGCAUGUGCCAUCACCAUGCACCAUCAUGUGCCAUUAACGUCCGAUCUAUGGCCCGUCGGGGCACGAGACAGAUGAAGGAUGAUGAGACAUCCGAUUUCCAUCGAUUCAGGUAUGCAACACAGGAUCCCGAUCGUGCCCUUUGGGUAUGACGACCGCAUGAAGGGAGAUUGAAGAGGAUGACGGGUCGACAGUUCGGUGCAUCGAGCAUGGAGCCUGCCAACACACAACCAUAACACCACUCAUAUGCCCAUUACGUACAAGUGGCAGUAUCCACGCACGUCGGUCCACAACCCACCCGAUCGAUUACUCGACAAGCGAGUGGAGGAAACGAUGUGCGACGCCACGCCACAACUGCUUGGCAUGAGAAAAACAUGAGCAAGGGCCACGAGACUGCCCCUGCCAUCUGACAGGCAACAACAAAGUGACACCACCAAUGCUUGGCUCGGUCGGAACCGCACGCGUGAGCUCUGCUGACACCACCCCAGGGGGACGUUAACUGAUUCAGGGACGUUGCCCGAUUCGUCGAGGCCUAGGCAUUUUUUUGGUCGACAAGAAGGGAUCACGAGACCAUCAAAUACUGAGAGACCUAGCUGGGCCAAGCUCGCAACUGUGGCUUCUACUCGCACCACCCCAGGGAGCCGUUGCCCGACUCAGGAACUUGGUCUGAGGUCUAGGGCAGUAUUCACCACGUGCACGAGCUAGUGCUUAGCUCCCUUUUUUCACAUGCACCCCAAUCGAUAGAGGCCAUGGGUGCCUGCCGGUCAAUGGAGCAACCAGUCGCCAGACAAAAUGGUCGGAAGGCAUGCACACCCUGUAUUUUGCUUGAGGGACGUUACCCUGGGUGUAUGCAAUGGGAGGCCCAUCACGCACACCUACUCCCCCCGUGGGGGGAGGGAGAAGGGGUGUCAGACCACCACCCCUUAAAGAGCAUCAGAGAUUUUACAGGUAUGCUACCAGUAGACGUUAAAGUGUCUGAAACGGGGACACUUUUUCCAAAUAGGCAUAUCCCGCACCGAGGGUGAGUAGCUGCCGAUGGUGGUUAGGGCAUGUGCCCGCACUAAGGGCCAGCGCAUGCCGAUGGUGGUCGAUGCAACUGCCCGUACCAAGGGCCAGCGUGUACCGAUGGUGGUCGAGGAAACCGCCCGUACCAAAUCGAGGGCAUGUGCCAACACCAAGGCCCGGCAUGUGCCGAUGGUGUUCGAGGCAACUGUUUGCACCAAGGGCCAUCUUUUACCAAUGGUGGUUGAGGCAAGAGCCCGCACCAAGGGUCGGCUUGUGUCGAUGGUGCUAGAGGUAACUGCCCGCACCAAGGGCCAUCUUCUGCUGAUGGUGGUCGAGGCAACCGCCCGCACCAAGGCCCAGCACAUGCCGAUGGUGUUCGAGGCAAUCGACCCACCAAGGGCCAUCUUCUGCUGAUGGUGGUCGAGGCAAUAGCCCGCACCAAGGGCCGGCUUAUGUCGAUGGUGCUCGAGGCAACCACCCACACGAAGGCCUAGCACGUGCCGAUAGUGGUUGAGGCAAUCGCCCACACCAAGGCCCAGCAUGUGCCGAUUGUGUUUGAUGCAACUGCCUGCACCAGGGGCCAUCUUGUGCCGAUAGUGGUCGAGGUAACCACCCGCACAAAGGGUUAGCUUCUACCGAUGGUGCUCGAGGCAACUGCCCGCACCAGGGGCCAUUUUCUAUCGAUGGUGGUUGAGGUAAGAGCUCGCACCAAGGGCUGACUUGUGUCGAAGGUGGUCGAGGCAACCGCCCGUACCAAGGCCUAGCACGUGCCGAUGGUGUUCGAGGCAACCACCCGCACCAAGCCUGACAUGUGCCGAUGGUGGUCGAGGUAACCGCCCACACCAAGGCCCGACAUGUGUCGAUGGUGGUCGAGGCAACCGCCCGCACCAAAGGUUAUCUUGUGCCGAUGGUGGUUAAGGCAACUGCCCGCACCAAGGGUCAUCUUGCGCAGAUGGUGGUCGAGGUAACUGCUCGUACCAGGGGCCAUUUUCUGUCAAUGGUGGUCGAGGUAAGAGCCUGCACCAAGGGCCGACUUGUGCCGAUGGUGCUUGAGGCAGCUGCCUGCACCAGGGGCCAUCUUCUGUCGAUGGUGGUCGAGGCAACCACCCGUACUAAGGCCUAGCAUGUGUCGAUGGUGGUCGAGGCAAGAGCCCGCACCAAGGGCCGACUUCUACUGAUGCUGUUUGAGGUAACCACCCGUACCAGGGGCCAUCUUCUAUUGAAGGUGGUCGAGGCAACCGCCCGCACCAAGGCCCAGCAUGUGGCGAUGGUGUUCGAUGCAACAGCCCACACUAGGGGCUAUCUUGUGUUGAUGGUGGUCGAGGUAACCACCCGCACCAAGGGCCAGCUAAUGCCGAUGGUGCUCGAGGUAACCGCCCGGACCAAGGCUCGGCACGUGCCGAUGGUGUUCGAGGCAACCGCCUGCUCCAGGGGCCAUCUUUUAUCGAUGGUGGUCGACGCAAUCGCCCACACCAAGGGUCAUCUUGUGUCGAUGGUGGUCAAGGCAAUCGCCCGCACCAAGGGUCAUCUUGUGCAGAUGGUGGUCGAGGCAACCGUCCGCACCAAGGGCCAUAUUCUAUUGAUGGUGGUCGAGGUAAGAGCCCGCACCAAGGGCCGACUUGUGUCGAUGGUGCUCGAGGCAACUGCCUGCACCAGGGGCCAUCUUCUAUCGAUGGUGGUCGAGGUAAGAGCCCGCACCAAGGGCUAACUUCUGCUGAUGGUGCUCGAGGCAACCGCCCGCACCAGGUGCAUCUUCUGUCGAUAGUGGUCGAGGUAACCACCCGUACCAAGGCCCAGCAUGUGUCGAUGGUGUUCGAGGUAACCGCCCGUACCAAGGCCCAGCAUGUGGCGAUGGUGUUCGAUGCAACCGCCCGCACCAGGGGCCAUCUUAUGCUAAUGGUGGUCGAGGCAACCGCCUGCACCAAGGGCCAGCUAGUGCUGAUGGUGGUCGAGGCAACCACCCGCACCAAGGCCCGAUAGGUGCUGAUGGUGUUCGAGGUAACCGCUUGCACCAGAGGCCAUCUUCUACCUAUGAUGGUCGAGGUAACCGCCCGCACCAAGGCCCAACAUGUACCAAUGGUGGUCAAGGUAAGAGCUCGCACCAAGGGCCGACUUAUGCUGAUGGUGCUCGAGGCAAUCGCCUGGACUAAGGGCCAUCUUCUAUCGAUGAUGGUUGAGGCAACCCCAGCACCAAGGCCCAGCAUGUGCCGAUGGUGUUCGGGGUAACCGCCUGUACCAAGGCCUAGCAUAUGGCGAUGGUGUUCGACGUAACUGCCUGCACCAAGGGCCAUCUUGUGCCGAUGGUGGUCGAGGCAACCGCCCUUACCAAGGGUCAGCUAGUGCUAAUGGUGCUCGAGGCAACCGCCCGCACCAAGGCCCAAAAAGUGCCGAUGGUGUUCGAGGCAACCGCCUACACCAGAGGCCAUCUUCUGCCGAUGGUGGUCAAGGCGACCGUCCGCACCAAAGCCUGGCAUGUGUCGAUGGUGUUUGAUGCAACUGCCCACACCAGGGGCCAUCUUGUGUCGAUGGUAGUCGAGGCAACCACCCGCACCAAGGGCCGACUAGUGCCGAUGGUGGUCGAGGCAACCGCCCGUACUCGGGGCCAUCUUGUGCCUAUAUGGUCGAGGCAAUCGCCCGUACGAAGGGCUGGCUUGUGCCGAUGGUGGUCGAGGCAACCGCCUGCACUAAGGGUCAGCAUGUGCCGAUGGUGGUCGAGGCAACUGCCUGCACUAAGGGUCAGCAUGUGCCGAUGGUGAUCGAAGCAACCACCCGUACCAUGGCCCAGCUUGUGUCGAUGGCGGUCGAGGCAAGUGCUCGUACCAAAGGGCAGCCUGUGCCGAUAAUGGUCGAUGCAUGUGCCAUCACCAUGUGCCAUCAUGUGCCAUUAAUGGUCGAGGCCAUGGCCGAAGUUCGAUUUUGAGCCACGGUAUGCAUGCUGGGCUCGGGCAUGUGCUGGUGCCACAUUUUUUUUGCUCGGGGUACCAUCACCGGAGCAUCAUCGGAGCAUCGGAGGAGAGCCCAACCGACGACAUUGGGGGUUCUGACAAUUGGGGGGGUCGGGAGGUGUGCGCACAUGAUGUGCAAUGGGUGCUGGUACUUGGCCCUUAUAUUGGCCCCCUAUCCCUCGUCAAACCUCAAGAACUCACACCCCCUUAAAGAGCAUUUGAGAUUUUAUAGGUUUGCUGCCAGUAGCCAUUAAAGUGUCUGAAAUAGGGACACUUUUUUCAAACGAUCACAAAAUCUUCUCCACUUCGAAUUUUUAGCUAAAUUUUUUUGUGCAUGCCAACAAAAAUACAAAAAUACACUCUUUCUAAAAAAAUUUUAAAAAAUCCCAAACUGUAAAAGUUUCAAAAAUCGUGAAAAAUAGAAAACGAGUCGUCUUACCACGAAACUUCACAUGAAGGCUUAGGGGACCAUUCUAUGAAUUUACAAGCCAUAAAAAUGGCAUUGGCACGGUAGAAAUAUGAAGAUGUGCCUAAACCCACCUACCACCCGUUCGAUCCAUGACUUGCGCAUCCUGCCUCUCGGCCGACUGAGCGCCCGUACGCUCGUUUCGUGGGUUGACUUAGGCAUACGGAGUUCAUCCCCAGUCUAAGCAUACGGAGUUCAUUCCCAGUCUAAGAUCAGACCGGACCGAGGGUUGCAACAACAAGAUCAGCAGCAUGUAAGGGGGGACCGCACCAAUCCUCGGCUUACGCAUUCUACCUCUCCGGUUGGCUGAGCGCCCGUACACCCAUUUCGUGGGUUAGCUUAGGCAUACAGAGUUCAUUCCAUGUCUAAGCCACAGCCAGACCGAGGGUUGUGGCAGCAAGACCGAUAGUACGUAGAGGGGGAUCGGACCGAUCCUCGACUUGUGCCUUAUGCCUCUUCAGUCGGCUCAGCACCCGCACACUCGUUUCAUGGGUUGAAUUAGGCAUACGGAUUUCAUUCCCAGUCUAAGAUCAGACCAGAUUGAGGGUUGUGACAAUAGGAUCGGUAGCACGCAGGGGGGAUGGGUUGAUCCUCGGCUUACGUAUUCUGCCUCUCCGACCGGCUGAGCGCCCGCACGCUCAUUUUAUGGGUUGGCUUAGGCAUAAGGAGUUCAUUCCAUGUUUAAGCAUACGAAGUUCAUUCCCAAUCUAAGAUCAGAUCGGAUCGAGGGUUACGAUAGCAAGACCAGCAGCAGGAUCGACAGCACGCAAGGGGGACCGGGUCGAUCCCCGGCUUGCACAUUCUACCUCUUCGGCCGACUGAAUGUCCGCACACUCGUUUUGUGGGUUGGCUUAGGCAUACGGAGUUCAUUCCAUGUCUAAGCCCCAACCGGAUUGAGGGUUGUGGCAGCAAGAUCGACAGUGCGAUCGACAGCACGUAAAGAGGGAUCGGGCUGAUCCUCGGCUUACACAUUAUGCCUUUCUAGUCGGCUCAGCGCCCGCACGCUCAUUUCAUGGGUUGACUUAGGCAUACGAAGUUCAUUCCCAGUCUAAGAUCAGACUGGCAGCGGGAUCGACAGUAGCACGCAGAGGGGGACCGGGCCGAUCCUCGGCUUACGCAUCCUGGCUUUUCGACCGGCUGAGCUCCCGCACGUUCGUUUCGUGGGUUGACAUAGGCAUGCGGAGUUCAUUCUCGGUCAAGCCCCAACCAGACCGAGGGACCCACAGCGAGAUGGGCAGCACGUAGAGGGGGAUCGAGUCGAUCCUCGACUUACUCAUUCUGGCUCUCCGGCUGGUUGAACGCCCGCAUGCUCGUUUCAUGGGUUGACUUAGGCAUACGUAGUGUAUUCCCGAUCUCGACCAACCAAAGGCCAGAGGCUAUCGACAACAUUUGGGGCAACAACCGAGGGGGACCAGUAGCGGGAUCCUUGGUCGGCUCGUGCAUCCCGCCCUCAAGGGUCAGUUUAGUGCCCGCACGCUCGUUUUAGGGGUCGAUCGAGGUGAGCGAAGUUCGUUCUUGAUAAGGAUCGGAAGAUGGGGGGCCCCGGGUCAUGCCCAACCCCGAAGAGGGGCGGCAUGAAAAGAAGGAAGGUCGGCGGGGGGAGGGAUGAAUCGAAGUGACAAAGGGCUGAAUCUCAGUGGAUCAUGGCAGUAAGGCCACUCUGCCACUUACAAUGCCCCGUCACAUAUUUAAGUCAUCUGCAAAGGAUUUUACCCACCGCUCAGUGGGAAUUGAGCUCCAAGGAGGCCCGAACGGCUUGUCCGCCGUGGGGGCUGUACCUACGACAUGUGCCCUUGGGGGCCAUGGGCCCUUACUAUGGGUUGACAAUCGGGCGACAGGCGCGCGCGUCAUUUCUAGCCUAGAUUUUGACCUAGAGGCAUUCUGUCAUAAUCCAGUGCACGGUAGCCUGUGCCAAUGAUGGUCGAUGCAUGUGCCAUCACCAUGUACCAUCAUGUGCCAUUGAUGGUUGAGGCCUUGGCCGAAGUUUGAUUUUGAGCCACGGUGCACAUGCUGGGCUCGGGCAUGUGCUGGUGCAACAUUUUUUUCACCCGGAGCACCAUCGUCGGAGCAUCACCAGAGAGCCUAACCAGUGGCAUUGGGGAUUCUGGUUAUUGGGGGGGGCGGGGGGUGUGCGCACAUGAUGUGCGAUGGGUGCAAUGGGUGCUGGUACUUGGCACAUGGGUACGGUGGACCAUCCACGUCGUUGCAAUCCGAACACUUCAUCGGACCAUUCAAUUGGUAGGAGCGACGGACGGUGUGUACAAAGGGCAGGGACGUAGUCAACGAGUUGAUGACUCGCACUUACUAGGAAUUCUUCGUUGAAGACCAACAAUUGCAAUGAUCUAUCCCCAUCACGAUGAAAUUUCAAAUAUUACCCAGGCCUGUCGGCCAAGGCUGUAGACUCGUUGAAUACAUCGGUGUAGCGCGCGUGUGGCCCAGAACAUCUAAGGGCAUCACAGACCUGUUAUUGCCUCAAACUUCCUUGGCCUAAGCGGCCAUAGUCCCUCUAAGAAGCUAGCCGCAAAGGAUCACCUCCACGUAGCUAGUUAGCAGGCUGAGGUCUCGUUCGUUAACGGAAUUAACCAGACAAAUCGCUCCACCAACUAAGAACGGCCGUGCACCACCACCCAUAGAAUCAAGAAAGAGCUCUCAGUCUGUCAAUCCCUACUAUGUCUGGACCUGGUAAGUUUCCCCGUGUUGAGUCAAAUUAAGCCGCAGGCUCCACUCCUGGUGGUGCCCUUCCGUCAAUUCUUUAAGUUUCAGCCUUACGACCAUACUCCCCCCGAAACCCAAAGACUUUGAUUUCUCAUAAGGUGCCGGUGGAGUCCUAAAAGUAACAUCCGUCGAUCCAUGGUCGGCAUCGUUUAUGGUUGACACUAGGACGGUAUCUGAUCAUCUUCGAGCCCUCAACUUUCAUUCUUGAUUAAUGAAAACAUCCUUGGCAAAUGCUUUCGUAGUUGUUCAUCUUUCAUAAAUCCAAGAAUUUCACCUCUGACUAUGAAAUACGAAUGCCCCCGACUGCCCUAUUAAUCAUUACUCCGAUCCCGAAGGCCAACACAAUAGGACCGAAAUCCUAUGAUGUUAUCCCAUGCUAAUGUAUACAAAAGUAGGCCUGUUUUGAGCACUUUAAUUUCUUCAAAGUAAUAGUACCGGAGGAAUGACUCGGGCAAUUAAGUCCAAGAGCACAUCACCGAUAAUAGGGACAAGUAGACCGGUGCUCACCAUGAGGCGAACCGGACGACCCAACCCUAGUUCCAACUACGAGCUUUUUAACUGUAACAACUUAAAUAUACGCUAUUGGAGCUGGAAUUGCCGUGACUGCUAGCACUAGAGUUGCCCUCCAAUGGAUCCUCGUUAAGGGAUUUAGAUUGUACUCAUUCCAAUUACAAGAGUCAUAGAGCCCGGUAUUGUUAUUUAUUGUCACUACCUCCCUGUGUUAGGAUUGGGUAAUUUGCGCGCCUGCUACCUUCAUUCAAUGUGGUAGCCGUUUCUCAGGCUCCCUUUCUGGAAUCGAACCCUAAUUCUCCAUCACCCAUCACCACCAUAGUAGGCCACUAUCCUACCAUCGAAAGUUGAUAGGGGCAGAAAUUUGAAUGAUGCAUCGUCGGCACAAAGGCCGUGCGAUCCGUCGAGUUAUCAUGAACAUCAAAGCAACAGGCAUAGCCCGCGUCAACCUUUUAUCUAAUAAAUGCAUCCCUUCCAGAAGUUGGGGUUUGUUGCACGUAUUAGCUCUAGAAUUACUACGAUUAUCCGAGUAGUAGAUACAUCAAACAAACUAUUAACUGAUUUAAUGAGCCAUUCAUAGUUUCACAGUCUAAAUUAGUUCAUACUUACACAUGCAUGGCUUAAUCUUUGAGACAAGUAUAUGAACUACUGGUAGGAUCAACCAGUAGCAUUCAUUGCGGGACGUUGGCACCACGUGGCCUCGACACACAGACCGAGCAGCGGAGAGAGCCCGACACGGAGCGCAAGCAUCGUGCAUGUCGAGCAUGUGAAAUACGUAGCAUCGAAUGAACGGGGGCCGAGAGCCCGCGCCCGCUAAACGUUCUGCAUCCGAGAGCAUGAUCGAAUGCCAGUGCACCAAUGUGGCCAUGGAAAAUUGGGUGGCACGCUUGGGACACUAGCCAUGAGACGGAUGAGGGGUGGUGAGACAUCCGAUUUCCAUCGAUUCAUGUAUGCAACACAGGAUCCCGAUCGUGCCCCCUGGGUACGAUGAUCGCGUGGGGGAGAUUGAAGAGGAUGAUGGGUCGAUAGUUGGAUGCAUCGAGCACAGAGCCUGCCAACAUGCACAACCAUAGCACCACUCAUAUGCCCAUUGCGUACAAGUGGCAGCAUCCACGUGUGUCGGUCCACAACCCACCCGAUCGAUUACUCGACGAGCGAGCGGAGGAAACGACGUGCGAGGCCACGCCACAACUGCUUGGCAUGAGAAAAACACGAGCAAGGGCCAUGAGACUGCCCCUGCCAUCCAACAGGCAACAACAAAGUGACACCACCAAUGCUUGGCCCAACCGGGAUAGCACGCACGAGCUCUGCUGACACCACCCCAAGGGGACGUUGCCCAAUUCAGAGACUUGUUCCUGGGUUUUCGGGCAGCGUCGGCUGCGUGCACAACCUCGUCGAGGCCUACGUAUUUUUAUGGUCGACGAGAAGGGAUCACGAGACCGUCAAAUAUCGAGAGACCUAGCCGGGCCAAGCCUGCAACCGCGGCUUCUACUCGCACCACCCCAAGGAGCCAUUGCCUGAUUCAAGGACUUGCUCUAGUGUCUAGGGCAAUAUCCGCCGCGUGCACAGGCUCAAAGAUCAGCUCCCUUUUGUCACAUGCAUGCCAACCGGUCGAGGCCAUGGGCGCCUACCGGUCAUCGGAGCAACCAAUCACCAGACAAAAUGGUCGAAAGGCAUGCACGCCCUGUAUUUUGUUGAAGGGAUAUUGCCAUGGGUGUACGCAAUGGGAGGCCCAUCAUGCACACCUACUCCCCCCGUGAGGGAGGGAGAGGGGGUGGCCGGACCACCACCCCCUAAAGAGCAUUAAAGAUUUUACAGAUAUGCUAUCAGUAGACGUUAAAGUGUCUGAAAUGGGGACACUUUUUCCAAACAAGCAUAUCUCACACGAGGGUGAGCAGGUGCCCGAUGGUGGUUGGGGCAUGUGCCCGCCACCAAGGGCCAGCGCGUGCCGAUGGUGUCGAUUGACUGCCCGCCACUAAGGGGCCAGCGUGUGUCGAUGGUGCGUCGAGGCAAUCGCUCGCACUAGAUCGAGGCAUGUGCCCACACCAAGGCCCGGCAUGUGCCGAUAGUGUUUGAGGCAACCGCCCGCACCAGGGGCCAUCUUCUACCGAUGGUGCUCAAGGUAAUCGCCCGGCACCAAGGGCCAUCUUCUGUCGAUGGUGGUCGAGGCAACCGCCCGUAGCAAGGCCCAGCACGUGCCGAUGGUGUUUGAAGCAACCGCCGCACCAGGGGCCAGCAUGUGUCGAUGGUGUUCGAGGUAACCACCUGCACCAGGGGCCAUCUUCUGCCGAAGGUGGUCGAGGCAAGAGCCCACACCAAAGACCUACCUGUGUCGAUGGUGCUCGAGGCAAUCACCCACAUGAAGGCCUAGCACGUGCCGAUGGUGUUCGAGGCAACUGCCCACACCGAGGCCCAAUAUGUGCCGAUUAUGGUCGAGGCAAUCGCUCGCACCAAGGCCCAGUAUGUGCCGAUGGUGUUCGACGCAACCGCCUGCACCAGGGGCUAUCUUAUGUCGAUGGUGGUCGAGGCAACCGCCCGCACCAAGGGCCAGCUUGUGCUGAUGGUGCUCGAGGCAACCGCCCGCACUGGGGGCCAUUUUCUAUCGAUGGUGGUCGAGGCAAGAGCUCGUACCAAGGGUCGGCUUGUGCAGUAGUGCUCGAGGCAACUGCCCGCACCGAGGCCCGGCAUGUGUCAAUGUUGGUCGAGGUAACUGCCCGUACCAAGGCUCAAAAUGUGCCGAUGGUGUUCGAUGUAAUCGCCCGUACCAGGGGCCAUCUUAUGCCGAUGGUGGUCGAGGCAACCGCCCGCACCAAGGGUCAUCUUGUGCCGAUGGUGGUCGAAGCAACCUCCCGCACCAAGGGUCAGCUUGUGCAGAUAGUGGUCGAGGUAACCGCCUGCACUAGGGGCCAUUUUCUACAG